UACGUAGGGUGCAAGCGUUAAUCGGAAUUACUGGGCGUAAAGCGUGCGCAGGCGGUUAUGUAAGACAGAUGUGAAAUGCCCGGGCUUAACCUGGGAACUGCAUUUGUGACUGCAUGGCUAGAGUUUGGCAGAGGGGGGUAGAAUUCCACGUGUAGCAGUGAAAUGCGUAGAGAUGUGGAGGAACACCGAUGGCGAAGGCAGCCCCCUGGGCUAACACUGACGCUCAUGCACGAAAGCGUGGG
rnacentral:rRNA from 1 species